AUGAAGAGUGAUCGGUCCAUGGGGAAUCCUCCUAAUUUCAGCAGUGAAGCUGUGACCUCUGACCCAAAGAGGAAGAGAGCAGCAUCUCCAGCCCCCAGUGGAGUGUCUAUGAAGAGUGAUCGGUCCAUGGGGAAUCCUCCUAAUUUCAGCAGUGAAGCUGUGACCUCUGACCCAAAAGAGAAGAUUACACUGAAUGUCCUGAGGAAGACGAACGAGAAAGACCUCCCUACCACACUAGAGAGCAAAUUGGCCCCGGCUUGUCAACCAAAGCUCAAAUCCACACUGAGGGAAAAAUGUCAGAGAAUUAAUGAAGGAAUCACAAAUCCUGGAACCUCAGUCCUCCUGAAU
rnacentral:lncRNA from 1 species